rnacentral:rRNA from 1 species
AACGAACGCUGGCGGCAGGCCUAACACAUGCAAGUCGAGCGAGGACUUCGGUUCUAGCGGCGGACGGGUGAGUAACGCGUGGGAAUGUGCCCUUCUCUACGGAAUAGCCCUGGGAAACUGGGAGUAAUACCGUAUACGCCCUAUUGGGGAAAGAUUUAUCGGAGAAGGAUCAGCCCGCGUUGGAUUAGGUAGUUGGUGGGGUAAUGGCCUACCAAGCCGACGAUCCAUAGCUGGCUUGAGAGGAUGAUCAGCCACACUGGGACUGAGACACGGCCCAGACUCCUACGGGAGGCAGCAGUGGGGAAUCUUAGACAAUGGGGGCAACCCUGAUCUAGCCAUGCCGCGUGAGUGAUGAAGGCCUUAGGGUUGUAAAGCUCUUUCAGUUGGGAAGAUAAUGACGGUACCAGCAGACGAAGCCCCGGCUAACUCCGUG